GGGAGUAUGGCACAGCGGCAACUGCAUUUGACUGUAAAUCAAACCUCUUUUGAGUUCGUAGGUUCGAGUCCUACUACUCCCA
rnacentral:tRNA from 1 species